rnacentral:rRNA from 1 species
GACAGAGGUUGCAAACGUUGUUCGGAAUUACUGGGCAUAAAGCGCACGUAGGCGGUUCGUUAAGUCAUGUGUGAAAUCCCUCGGCUCAACCGAGGAAUUGCGCCUGAUACUGGCGGGCUAGAGAUCGAUAGGGGUGAGUGGAACUCCAGGAGGAGCGGUGAAAUGCGUAGAUAUCUGGAGGAACACCGGUGGCGAAAGCGGCUCACUGGAUCGAUACUGACGCUGAGGUGCGAAAGCUAGGGUAGCAAACGGG